UUGCAAUGCCAAACCUUCCUCAACAGCGCUGCGGAGGAGGGUCUGGCUUGUCCACACAUCAUUCCGCAAUGGGAGAGGAACGUGCUCCGGUUUAUUGGCAUGGCUUUAAACCAAUAGUUUUAGUUUGAUUCAGUUUGUAACAGGUGGUUUAGCUGAUUAACACACCUCAAACCAGAUAAAAGAAAGGAGCUAAACGGUGCACAAAGAUAGUGUUGUCUUUGGAUGUGAACGGCACACAGUUUAAUCUCUCUGAGAACCACUGCUCUGCCAAAUUAUCAUCUGUAACAACCAAAGGGUCACACUGGAACAAUCUCACUUAAGACUGUUAUUAGGAAUUCUCAGAGGCUUUCAAUUUGUGUCAAAUCCAAAAUAGUACUACACAGUGUGUCUGGAGAUUGUUGCUUGUCUGUAUAGAUGAACUACAUUUUAUCUGUAAAGAAAUGUACAUUCCACUGUCCAAUUUCAGACUUGUGCCCUUGGGUUAUUGCUGGAACUUAAUUAAAUUGGAGACUAUUUUUCUUCAGUU